GCCCGGAUGGCGAAAUUGGUAGACGCAAGGGACUUAAAAUCCCUCGGAGAUUGCUCUCCGUGCCGGUUCAAGUCCGGCUCCGGGCA
rnacentral:tRNA from 1 species